CCUACGGGAGACAGCAGUGAGGAAUAUUGGUCAAUGGACGAGAGUCUGAACCAGCCAAGUAGCGUGAGGGAUGAAUGCCCAAUGGAUUGUAAACUUCUUUUAUAAGGGAAUAAAGUGUUGCACGUGUGCCAUUUUGUAUGUACCAUAUGAAUAAGGAUCGGCUAACUCCGUGCCAGCAGCCGCGGUAAUACGGAGGAUCCGAGCGUUAUCCGGAUUUAUUGGGUUUAAAGGGAGCGUAGGCGGAUUGUUAAGUCAGCUGUGAAAGUUCGGGGCUCAACCGUAGAAUUGCAGUUGAAACUGGCAGUCUUGAGUACGGUAGAGGUAGGCGGAAUUCGUGGUGUAGCGGUGAAAUGCUUAGAUAUCACGAAGAACUCCGAUUGCGAAGGCAG
rnacentral:rRNA from 1 species